rnacentral:rRNA from 1 species
GUGGAUUAGAUACCCUGGUAGUCCACGCCGUAAACGAUGAUAACUAGCUGUCAGGGCACUUGGUGCUUUGGUGGCGCAGCUAACGCAUUAAGUUAUCCGCCUGGGGAGUACGGUCGCAAGAUUAAAACUCAAAGGAAUUGACGGGGGCCUGCACAAGCGGUGGAGCAUGUGGUUUAAUUCGAAGCAACGCGCAGAACCGUACCAGCGUUUGACAUGUCCGGACGAUUGGCAGAGAUGCCUUUCUUCCCUUCGGGGACUGGAACACAGGUGCUGCACGGCCGUCGUCAGCU